CUUCCCGCGGGGUCUGAGGAGUAUUGUCGUGGACGAGGGGAGCGCGGGCUCGGCUGGUGCUGCGCCACGGCCCGAGGAGGCCGCCCCGUCUCUGCCGCUGCAGAGGAACGAGCGGGAAGAGUGGUCCCGAGUCGUUUUCUCCUUCUCCGCGCCCUCCUCGCUACGACAGCCCGCGGAGACCGGGUUUGAAGGACAGGGUGGAAACAAAGAUGCCGGCCCUCUGCCCUUCGGCGAGGCGCGGCCGCCGCUAUUGUCUGGCUGCCUGCCGGAGAGCAGCGGCUCUCUUUUUUGUCUGCCGAACGUGGUGUUUCGGCGGCAGCGGAGGGACUGACGAGGAGGCUUUGUCUGCGGGAAAAGGGCUGUGGCGAAGCGGCGCCCCCUUAAUGGCCGCCGGGCCGCCCUCCGCGGGUUCCGCGCGCGCUCCGCUGGCGAUGUUUUCCGUGUCAGUUAAACCCGGGAAAGUCUGCUUUUUCCUUCCCGACAUUUUCAUUCUGAUUGGAGUCUUGGAGUUUGAGGACUGUCCUCCGCCUAAACUGACUCCAUCUCCUUUAGCGAUUCUGAAACCUGAUGAGACCGAGUUCUCUGUGGACUCUUACCGUACAUCUUUUCUUUUGCUCCCUCAGAAAGAAUUGAAUUGGGAAACCGUGGAGGUGGGCGAGGCUCACCCGGGCUUACAGUCCUGAGAUGUGUUUUGCUGAGUCCCCGCUGGUGCCUCAGACAGGCCUGAGGCACAGGCCUCAGGAGAGGGCUGUGCGGGUUAAAGUUAUCUGGGGAUCCCGUUAGUCUGUGGGGUUUUUUAUGAAUAUCUAGGGAAACUGCCUGACCAGAGAAGGUGGAGGCAGCUGAGCCUCAGAAAGGGGCUUCCAGUCCGCUGCGAAGGCGUCUAUUGUUUGGUUACGCGACAGCGCUCAGUGACGGAAGAGAGGGCAGGACGGUAUUUUUUUGAGAGCACCGAAGUCCAGCUUGGGCUCGCAGCUUGUGACUGCUGAUCUCCCCUUUUGUUUCCCUUCGUAGCCUUUCUUGCCACCUGCUAGAUGUUGCAUAUUUUACAUAUUUAUUGUUUGGCUUUUCUCCGCCACUUGAUCUAAACCUGGGAGAGCAGAGAGGUGUUUUGUUCACUGGGGUUCCCUGGAGCCUAGCACAGUACCUGGCAAAGUACUGGGCGGGGGCGGACUUCGUAAAUAGUUACUGACUCAGUGAAUGAAAAACACAUGACAUUAUUUAAAGGCAUCGUGAGAGAAGCACGAAACCGAAAGCCACUUGACACAAGAAAAGUUGAUCUCUUCAGACCUGCUCUUUUCGUUUCGGAGCAGUCAUUGGUGAUAGGUGAAUGUAUCUUGCAUGUUCAACCUGUGACAGAGAACUUGACCCAUGGAGGGCAUGCAAAUAUCAUUGCAAGAGGACCUGUCAGAGUUAUGGAAAUGAAAGAUAAGGAACAUGAGGCCCAGAAAGAGGAACUUACCAAAGGAUACUCUGUUAGUGACAACAUCAGGAUUGCAACCCAGUCUUCUGACCACAGUCUUCCUCUAAUCAAAUUGGGGAAAAGGAUUCCCCAGGCCUGUGUCCCACUGAGGCUCACUUAGACGUAAGCAUGUCUGAAAGUGGAGGCUGGACCGUGAGAGCUGUCAGUAUCCCUUUGUACUCCAGAAGUUUCCAGGAGUCUCCAGUGCUCAGAUUUCUGCACUCUGUUCCUAGUUCUGAGAGACUAUGGACAAGUUCCUGUAAGUCCUCUGUAAGUCAGCGCCUGUAAUAAAGGUGAAUGGAGCAAUAUUUAUACAUAGAUGCGAACACUGUGUGGAAGAAAUAAGAGAAGAGCAGCUUUGCUGCAGCUAGAUUUGUCUACUGUGCUGCCUCUGGGUUUUCUGCGAGGGUGCUUCCUAGGAAAGGGCAAGGAGGUCUGUGGAUCUAGAGAAACGUUAUUAUUCACUUAGGUCUUACUAAAGUAAUAAACCCACCUUUUAGGCUCGUAAGGUAAGAAUUAUUACUAGCUUUCAUAAAGUGCGCCACAGAGUAAGAUAAGGUUGAAAUAAUAAAAAAUAGUACUGCCACUCAUAGUAAUAUGCAAAUGUUAGAACAUAUUUAGGGAAUGUGAAAAAAUGAAUACAGUUCACGCUCUACCUUUACUAUACUGUCUUUACUCUGAAAAAAUUAUUUCAAACCUUGUCCAAAGUGUCUCAGACAUUUAUCAGAUGUAUCCAACUCCUUUGAUGCCAAAGAACCUUUCAAAAAUUAUCUGUGAGAGACGGCAGAAUGCUGUGGCCUGAAAUGAUUUGUGGCUGGUACAUAAGAGAGUAAUACCCUGCUGAUCUUGAGCAAUUACCCAGAGAACUACGGACUUGAACUGUGGAGGGACUCUGAACUUUUUGCUAACCCUAAGUCACUUUUGGAAUUAGUUCCUGUAACACUAAAAAUGAAUGAUUCAGCAAGGGAAGUUUUUUCAAGAGAACAUCACUCUGAUAGACUUCUGAAGCUUGGAGUUUUCUUCAUUUUACUUUUAGGUUGUUGUCAUUUCCCCAUUUUUCUGUUACCUGUAUCUUAAAAAUUAUUAUAUAGUAAGCAUCUUAUUAAGUGAAGGGACACUGGUUUGCAUCUUGAAUUUGUGGUUUCUGUCUCAAAGCUGCUGUUUGAGAGGAGCCUGUUCUUUCACAGACUUGAAGGGCAGUUGCAGAAUAACUCCACUGGCCUGACACUAAUGCCAGGUGGAAAGUGAUGCAUUUAUGGAAAUAAUUCAAGCCAAAGAAAUCUACUCUUGUUUGGAUUACCCCAGCUGGGCAGUACUUUGCUCCUGAAUGGAUUCCCCUUGGGUUAAGUUGGGUUAAAGAGGGCAAAACAAUAUGGGAUAUAAGGGAAUCAGCCCAGGGUUCUCUUAGAGUUUAACCUCAGCAAUCCUAUAAAACUUAGCUUGGUCUAGGCCAGGCAUUCUCAACUAAAGACCAUUUUAAAAGUUACACUUUCACUCCAUGGUUGCCAUGUUUUGAAAUAUCUGGAUUACCCAAAAUGUAGUAACCCUAGUAGCUUUUACCAAGGUCCAUGCACAUUUUGGUAAGGUUUUUUUGAUAGUGCUGGGAACCAUGGACAGAUCACCGGUGCUACCGUAAGAGCUCAGGAACCCGGCAUGAUAGGAAACUCACAAGGGCGAUCAGCCAAGACUGCUAGAUCUUCUGCGUCCCUGCCAACCUGGCUCCCACUCCACUGUCACCAGUGUUCCUCUGGAACCCAUGGUGGUUUUAAUCACCUCCUAUUCACGCCAUUGGUGAGGGAGGUGUUCGCACCCUAGAGUUAUGGGGACGGCCAGACACACAACCCCUGACACUGGACAGAAGAGAUUGACAGCAGUUUAUUGGUCACCUACACUCACAGCUGGGAGGAGGAGGACACUGCACGCAGGGCCACGUGCAGGUUGCACUCGAGGAUGGAAUGAACAACCAUGACUUGUGUGGGUAGGGCCGACUUCUUUGUAGCGUCAAGAGGGUGAAGUUCCCCCUGAUUCCCAUGGGAGGAUGUGACUGGCUUAUUUGAAUUCUGAGGGCUGGCAGGGAGCUGAAACCCACCACUCAGGGAUUAGCACCUGGUCCAUUUAAUGAGGGUUGUUUGGCUGGGGGACCUUAUCCUCCGGAGCAGAGUGAGGAGGGGAACUUGUGGUUAGGCCAUUUGAGGUCCCCCAUUUUUCCCCAGAUGUCAAGACAUGCAUAAUAUUGGGCCUUAAUUUUAGGCCUUAUGCCACAAUAGCCAAGUCAGGACAUUAUGUCUAGACCACCGUCUACAAUGUCCUCUUACAACUGGGAGGGAAAAAAAAGGUGGACUGAGGCAAAGGGUGCAAAAGCCAAAUCUUUCUAGUUAAUACUUCCAGUUAGUCACAUAGCAAAUGCUCACUGAAUAUCUUCACGUGCCGGCACUAGACUAGGCCUUGAGACUUACAGGUGAAUGGAGCCCAGUCCUAUUUUGAAAAAGUCAAAUGGAGGAGAAACGGAGGACGUGAGCAGAUGGUCAUACUGAGCGACAGAUGCGGGAGCCAAGAUCUGUGCCUGUGCCGUGAGAGAACAGUGAUGGGGGCAGGUCAUCCGGGGACGAGGGCCCGUGGCCCCUGAGCUGGCCUUGAAGGAUGAGAAGGGGUUUGCCAGUCAGAGACGGGAGAGAUGGGGGCAUCAUAUCAGAGGGACCAGCAUGACCAAAGGUGGAAAUGAUCACGACAUGGUAAAAAUAAGUGACAAAUAGUCCCGCAAGCAGGGGGAGGGGUGGGUGUUGUUAGCCUAGUGAUUGGGGCAGGAUUGACACAGCCUCAGAGAGGCAGCCUGGGAUAGGCAGGAACAUUGUACUGCGAGGGCCGCCCUGGAAGCUUCUGCUUCUGUCACCCUCCUUCCCCACAUUUCCCUCCAGUCCUCUGUCUCCUGCAGGCACCUUGUCAUGUUGCAGAAUCAGAUUCUGCCCUUAUCUUACUGGGAGCGGGGGUGAUGGGAGCAAGGUGAGAGGCGAUGAGAGGAGUGUGCUAAGGGGACCGGAAUAAACUUCGCUCUCCUGACCAUCUCACCGAAGGCCGCCUCUGAGUACCUGUGUAGCGUGUUGUGCCAAAGGUCCCAGGCACAGGCCAGACCAGCUGGGCGCUGCCCAGGCUGUGUCACGAGCGCUCAGAUCCCCCGACCUCUCUCUCCUGCUGCUGCUUUUGGCAUCUUCUCCACGUCCUGCCCCUGCUCCCCUUGGCCGGGACGGUCAACUCUGUGCAAGCCACGGGAUCCUCUAGAGACUCAGGAGGCGGGAACCAAGCAGCUAGUUUUCCCGGAGCAGAAAUAAGGUAGAGGGGAUUAACGGUAUUUUUAUCCAGUUCAGGAGCUCUGCCAUCAGCGGUCCUACUUUAGACGGAUAGAUCUGCAAGCUGUAUUUACUUUCUUAUACAAUGUUCUGCUUUCACAUGUGCUGAUAUCUUGGAUUGGAAAUUGCCUUCCCUUCAUCUCUCCCUAGGUUCUCAUCUGGAAAACUCCUACUCUUCUUUCAAAACCUGAUUCAAAAGUCACCUCCUUAAGAAGCCUCCCUCUGGCAAGCUAGUUUCUUCCUUCUGGCACUCCCUUAGCAGCUAUUUUACACUUUUUAAAAAACACUGAACACAUUGAUUAUAAUUCUGUUUGCAUGCAUUUUCUUCACUCUUAUCUAAAUUCCUGAGGCAGCUUUGUUUCCAUAACAACCAGCCAUAACAGACAUGUACAUAGUAGGUAUUCGGAAAACUUGAAUAAAAAGCCAGAGAACACAUUAGAAUAAAAAUCAUACAUAUGGAUCAAGCUUCCAACUACCAAUUUAUAGAAAAUAGAGUACAGAAAAAGAUGUUUUUCUUUACCUGCCACGCCAGGAUAUAAUCAGCAAAAUCCUGAGAGAAGAACCCCUUUAGGACAAACACCCCAGUUUCCUGGAAAAUAAAUUACAAAGGGGGAAAGAGAGUUGGAGGAGGACCAGUCAUUUAAAAGAGACUUAGGAGACCCAUCAAACAACUGCAAAGCAUGGACUUUACUCAGAUCUUGAUUUUUAAAAAAUAUUAGAUUAUGACACGUAUGAGACCUUGGAAAUUUGAAUGUGGGACAUUUUUUUGUGUGUGUGUGUGCGGUACACGGGCCUCUCGCUGCUGUGGCCUCUCCCGUUGCGGAGCACGGGCUCCGGACGCACAGGCUCAGCGGCCAUGGCUCACGGGCCCAGCCGCUGCGCGGCAUGUGGGAUCUUCCCGGACAGGGGCACGAACCCGCGUCCCCUGCAUCGGCAGGCGGACUCUGAACCACUGCGCCACCAGGGGAGCCCUGAACGUGGGACAUUUGAUGACUUUAAGGACUGAUUGUUAAUUGUUUCAGAUGUGAUAAUGGUGAUAUGUUGAUAUGUUUACUUUGAAAAGAAAGUAGUCAUUAUAUUUUAGAGAUAAGUUCUGAAAUGUUUAUGAGUGAAAUUAUAUGUCUGGAAUUUGCUUCAAAAUAAUAUGGGAGGGAAGAAGUGGAUGAGAGUGUGAAUGGGGCAGGUUUGGCCAUGGGGUUGAUGGUUGUUGAGGCUGAGUGAUGGGUGGACACAGAAAGAAUCACCCUAUACAUAUUUUUAUGUAUGCCUGAAAUUGUUAUUGCAUUAUUUAAAAACAAUAAAAAGUCUUUAAAAUU